AACACAUGACAGAACAGCACAGAACAAACUUUUGGGAUAUUGAACAUUUUUUUAUCUUAUACGAUAUUUUGUUAAUAAAAUGGUAUUUUGGCAUUUUAGACAACUUGUACUGCGGACAAAAAGUUGUGCUGUGGUUUAGUGAGGUACAAAAAAUUCUGAUUUUGUCCUGUCUAUUGCUUUCCAGUUUGUCCAGUUCCUGAAACAGUUUUACAAUCAAACACAGUACAACUACAGUUGUCCUGUCCAGUCCCUUAUUUUUAGCGAAUCAAACGGAC
rnacentral:lncRNA from 1 species